ensembl:lncRNA
GCCGUCAUAAGGAAAUGAAGACCCAAUCAACAAACUUGAAUAAGUUGGGCUGGCUUCGAUGAGGAGCACAGUGUGUCAGAGUAAGAGACCUCCCCUGCUGCCUCAAAGUACAAGCCUGGGUUAGCAUCCUGGAAGCAUGACAAGGAGUUGCCAGCUGUGCCCGCUGAGGCCAACCUAGACCAGUCUACAGGAAGUCAUCCCACAGGACAGAGGCACAGACAGUUUUCCGCUCCUUUGUUAUCCCUGUGACAUCUACUGACCUUCACCUGGCCAUUCUCUGGAGCAAAAACAUGCAGAAGAGAAUAGCAAUGAGCAGACAGACAAGGAGACAAGGGGGAAAGACAAGAUCAUGUCACUUGUAAAUAGAAGUAGUUUUACGUCUUCUUCAAGGGCAGCUGGAGAGGGAGAACAAGUUCACUAGGUCUUCACUUGACUGUUCCAGAGAUCCAUUUCCCUGAGAAGAUUUUAAAUAAAUGAAAACCAGGUACUGGAUACAAAUAUGAACACAUUAAAGAUGUGCUGGAUUCACAAUGCGAGAAACGGCAGAUGUUAUAACUGAUCCAAAGAGGAUCCAAUGAAUAGUAACUGAUUCUUGAAUGGUGAUCCUGCCAGUAGGAAGAAGGAAAGGACAUUAAGAUAGAAGGAAUGGCAUAUACAAAACAUCCAUGGCAUAAAGAAACAACCAGUUCAGUGGCAAGAAAUAUCCAGAUCCUUCUUGGUAGGCCAGGGUACUUUUGGCAAGAGAACAUUCCUCUGUACUAAGGUCCAGACCUAGUAGUCCUUGUCCAGGGGUAGGAUAACUUGAGACAGUAUAGGGAGGUUUUGAAACACAGUAAAAGAAUGCAUCCAAAGUAAGCAAAAAGCAAUGCCAGUGGUCAAGUCUGAAGAGCCAGCUGAAGCUGUGGGUGGGCUAAUGAGUAAUGCAGUAAAAAGUAAUAGGGAUUGAAGUGUGUCAAACGCAGAUCUAGAAAUAAGUUGGAGGGAAGGGCAUUUUAUUUCGAUCGUGAUUGACACCACUGAAAGUGGAUGAGAGACAAGAAGGAAAAGUACCAGUUAGAAAGCACUGCAAAAUUUAAGUAGAUGAUAACGACCUGAAAUAAGACAGCAAUACUGGGUUCAAGUGUGAGAAAAAUUUAGGAAGCAAACUGCAUCACACUUGAUAAACAAUGGAUAUGUGAUUGAGAAGAUAGUUGUAAAAAUGCUGCCGUGGUGCCCAGGAACAACACCUUGCAGAGUUUGGGAUACAGACUAAACCUGUGACUGGUAUAUAUUGACCCAACAGCUAGAGCAUCAGGAGUCUGAGAAGCAAAGAAAGGAAGUAACAUUAGCCUCUAUCAUCAUUCUUAAUGAACAACCCAUCUGUUUGUUUAUAUUUCCCGUCACCUUUGGUUCUGCCAAAUUAGAGGUCCAAAUUCUCAGUGGGGGGAUGUUUGUAUUAGUGGACAUAUAAGUCCAUCAGUGGACUGAAAUAGAAGGCAUGACUUGAAGCUACCACAUCACUUUGAGAUCCUUGUGCUAGUGCCUUGCAGAUAAAGAUCCAGGUAAAAAUGACCCUGACAGUAAAUAAUGCUGGAAUGUGAUUAAUUCUCAAAGAGAAAAACAUAAAAGAAUGCUGCAGAAAUCUAGAUGAUGGGGAAAUUUGGAAAUGCAGAAGUGUAAAGAUAAAAGGCCAAAAGAUUGGGCAAUGCAUAAAGGCUAAUCAGAACAAAUAAUAAUGAGAGAGCUACAUAUUUUAUUGUAUCAAAAUAUUGUCAAAUACCCCUUUGAAAGUGUGUCUGCUGGAAAUAAAGGUGCAUCUGUGUA